rnacentral:rRNA from 1 species
CAGCCGCCGCGGUAAUACGAAGGGUGCAAGCGUUACUCGGAAUUACUGGGCGUAAAGCGUGCGUAGGUGGUGGUUUAAGUCCGUUGUGAAAGCCCUGGGCUCAACCUGGGAAUUGCAGUGGAUACUGGGUCACUAGAGUGUGGUAGAGGAUAGUGGAAUUUCCGGUGUAGCAGUGAAAUGCGUAGAGAUCGGAAGGAACAUCUGUGGCGAAGGCGACUAUCUGGGCCAACACUGACACUGAGGCACGAAAGCGUGGGGAGCAAACAGGAUUAGAUACCCCUUAGUCCCUGUCUCUUAUACU